rnacentral:rRNA from 1 species
AACGUACGCUGGCGGCACGCCUAACACAUGCAAGUCGAACGAAGUAGCAAUACUUAGUGGCAGACGGGUGAGUAACAUGUAGGUAUCUGCCCUUUGGCCUGGAAUAACACGAGGAAACUUGUGCUAAUACCGGAUAAGUCUUUACGGAGAAAGCUUUAUGCACCAUUGGAUGAGCCUGCACUUGAUUAGUUUGUUGGUGGGGUAAUGGCCUACCAAGACUGUGAUCAAUAGCUGAUUUGAGAGGAUGAUCAGCCACAUUGGGACUGAGACACGGCCCAAACUCCUACGGGAGGCAGCAGUGGGGAAUCUUGCACAAUGGAGGAAACUCUGAUGCAGCGAUGCCGCGUGAGUGAAGAAGGCCCUUGGGUUGUAAAGCUCUUUCGUCGGGGAAGAAAAUGACUGUACCCGAAUAAGAAGGUCCGGCUAACUUCGUGCCAGCAGCCGCGGUAAUACGAAGGGACCUAGCGUAGUUCGGAAUUACUGGGCUUAAAGAGUUCGUAGGUGGUUGAAAAAGUUAGUAGUGAAAUCCCAGAGCUUAACUCUGGAACUGCCAUUAAAACUUUUCAGCUAGAGUAUGAUAGAGGAAAGCAGAAUUUCUAGUGUAGAGGUGAAAUUCGUAGAUAUUAGAAAGAAUACCAAUUGCGAAGGCAGCUUUCUGGAUCAUUACUGACACUGAGGAACGAAAGCAUGGGUAGCGAAGAGGAUUAGAUACCCUCGUAGUCCAUGCCGUAAACGAUGUGUGUUAGACGUUGGAAAUUUAUUUUCAGUGUCGCAGGGAAACCGAUAAACACACCGCCUGGGGAGUACGACCGCAAGGUUAAAACUCAAAUGAAUUGACGGGGACCCGCACAAGUAGUGGAGCAUGUGGUUUAAUUCGAAGAUACGCGCAGAACCUUACCAACACUUGACAUGUUCGUCGCGACUCUAAGAGAUUAGAGUUUUCGGUUCGGCCGGACGAAACACAGGUGCUGCAUGGCUGUCGUCAGCUCGUGUCGUGAGAUGUUGGGUUAAGUCCCGCAACGAGCGCAACCCUCACUUUUAGUUGCCAUCAUUUAGUUGGGCACUCUGAAAGAACUGCCAGUGAUAAGCUGGAGGAAGGUGGGGAUGACGUCAAGUCCUCAUGGCCCUUACGUGUUGGGCUACACACGUGCUACAAUGGUAUCUACAACAGGAAGCAAGACUGCGAAGUUAAGCAAAUCCCUAAAAGAUACCUCAGUUCGGAUUGCACUCUGCAACUCGAGUGCAUGAAGCUGGAAUUACUAGUAAUCGUGGAUCAGCGUGCCACGGUGAAUGCGUUCCCGGGUCU